CGCUAAUUGUUCAGUGGUUGUCAACAGCGUGAUGCAUUUUAAUCCAAAUCCGUUCAACGGUCCUAAAAAACGGUGCUCUAGAAAUUUUGAGCAAUGUACUCCAAAUACCUUGUCCUUAAGUGUUAAAAGAACAUUCAUUUAAUGAAAGGCUGGUCAAGUGCUACUGGGUACGUAGAGCCCGCAAAAAAAGUUUUGAAAUAAAACAGCAAAACAAUUGUAACGAUACAUGAAGUUUGUAUGGACGAGAAGAACUUGUAAUAUAGUCAACGGAAGCAGAGCCACCAACCCACAGAAGUCUGCCGAACAAUCAUUCACCACAAUAUCCCUUCUUCAAUAAGAAACCAUGGCACACCGAGCAUCGCAACUCAAGAUCACCCUGCGUCAACUGCAACGGGAUCAGACCACCGACGAUCGCCAACCCGUUUGGAAAGGAUCCGCCAGGUGCAGCGGUUAAUCCGACAGCUGGAUAGUCAAUUCCGCCAGAUGUCCGACCAGGACUUGAAAAGGCCCGUAAGAGUUAACGGGUUUGCGUUUCCCCUGUCCUGCGAAGAGGAUAUCGAGCGACUUGAACUGAUGGUGCAGCGAAAUCCGAGCAUUCGCGAGCAGUUUGUUAACUAUCUGUGCAAGCGGAAAUCAUCUAGCGAUACGGUCGAGGAAUGUUUUGGAAACUUCUUCACCGAUGAGGCCAUGUUGCGGUACAACUGGAAAGGACUCGAUCGUGAUCAGUGCCCCCGGAAGGCCAUGAUGAAUUACAGCAUCUUCACGGAUUGUAUGGUCGAUGCUUGGAGUUCUCACGGAGUGUCAAUGGAAAAGAUUCAUAGUGAGUUUAAGAAAGCUGUCUUCAAGAUUGGACGCAGGCGGUACUCGAGCCAAUGUGCCAGGAAAAAGAGAUUUUUAGAAAGGUCGUUUGAUUUGGAAUGAUUAACUAAGCCCGAAAGAAGUCCAGAAAGUAUGAAGUCAGAAAAUAAACAAAAAUACUGUUUCCUUCAUAAUCAAGUACCUCAUUCCGACGACAUAUUUGGUAUAUUCAAUAGAAUCUCAAUAUAUAACUGGUGCUUUCGUGAAGAAAUGCUUAGUCUUAAUGAAAGAAAAAGUAAAAUUAUUCUUUAUCAAUUAGAAAAGAAAGAAAUAUUAAAAAUAAUGUCACUCAUAUUGUUUCAAAUUAUUAUUUCUUUUAUUCCAGACACGGUAACGCAAGUCCAACCAACAACAUUGCCCAUCGUAGGGCAGUGGUACGAAACCAAUUUAGCGUUCACCAAAGGUCACCGAAGAAAGCUGUUACUGGAUCUACAGGGCUACACACUGGGUCCGAAGAGAAUUGACAAUCGUGUAACUUGGUGGCAAUGCUCAAAGAGAUACUGCCAGGCACGAGCCGCUACCUACGAUGAUAAGUACAUCAGAUUUGGAGAGUUAUAUCACAAUCAUCCGAUAAAAACGGCGCCCAAAGAAUGGAUGCCUCUAGUGCCUGCUGAUCUAUCAUUUCUAGGUUCAAAAAACAAAAAACCAUAUUGUACAAAGAAAAACUUCAAAACACGUGCCACUAUCAAUAACGAAAGGAAUAUCAAAUUUAAGGAACUAUGCAACGUUGUCGACUCAUCUGUUUCCUUUUGAUUUGGCUGUUUUUCAAAACUUAGUUCUAGUAUAACAUUUCGUUUAUUUCAUCGGUGUUAGCUGAGAAAAUAUAAGGGGUUUCUUCACAAUCUCGUACAUCAUUUCUAUAACAUAUUUGGAAUAUUUGACAGAAUCUCAAUAUCUGCCUUGUCCUUUCAUAAUAAGGCUCUGAGACAAUACAAUAGAUAUUCUCUAAACAAUCUUGAAAAUCGCCUUGUGUAAUAAAUUCACCACACGUAUCAUAAAGCCAUUCUUGUUUUUUUUUUCUUUUUCUUUUUUAAUUCUAGCUAUGCCAGCUCAAGUCCGGCCUACAAUGUUGCCCAUCGUAGGGCAGUGGUACGAAACCAAUUUUACGUUCACCAAAAGUCGCCGAGACAAGCUGUUGCUGGAUCUACAGGGCUACACACUGAGGCAGAUAAGAAUUGGCAAACGAAUUACAUGGUGGUACUGCUCAAAGAAAACCUGCCCGGCACGUGCCGCUACCUUCGGCGAUAGGUACAUCAGUUUCGGAGAGUUAUAUCACAAUCAUCCGAUAAAAAGUGGUUCUACAGCGUGGAUUCCUCUAGUACCUACUGAUUUAUCUUUUCUACCAAGUUCAAAAGAUAUGACCAAAAAAUGGAAGAUGAAGAAAAGUCCAAAUGGGUUCUUGGCAAGCUCAAAGGAAAUCAAAUUUGUACAUAAUUAAUAAGAAUACAUAGACUAUAUAAGGAAGCAUCCAGCCACCAAACAUGGUAGUCUUGUAUGAACAAAAGCUACAAAGCAUGACUGUUGAUUCAUCUGUUUGAUUUGUCUGUUUUUCAAAAUUCAGAUCUGUUUUUUACAUAGUAUCACCAGUAUAAAUUGUAUAAGAAGAAAACAUCCAGCCACCUAACUUGGUGGUAUUGUAUUAACAAAAACUUCAGAACGCGUGCCGCCACUAUCGAUGAAAGGUACAUCAAUUUAAAGAACUGUACCAUGAUCAUCCGAUAGGGAAGAUGUCGGAAUCGUUUUUACCUCCGUUUCCUAUCGAUCUGUCUUGUCUACUGGGAGAGAUUGCCAGGGUGACGAAAAAGUAUUCAAAACUUGAUUAGGAUUUUGGCUAAUCAAGUAAUUAGCAUCCUUGCAUUGGUAGACAGAGUAGUGCCAUGUCUACGAAUGGUCAGCUAAAGGUAAACACAUCAACAUCUCUCAGCUUCUCAGCCGUUUAACUCAUCCUUGCUUACCUUGAUUAAACUGAUUUUAUUUCUGUAUAAUCUAGUACCCCAUUUAAAGAAUUCAUUAGGUAUAUCUGACAGAAGCUGAACAUCUACCUGGUCCUUUCAUGAGGUGACUCUGGAGACUGUACGCUAGACGUUCCCUAAGUCUUGAGGAAAGACGUACUAGAAUGUUAUUCUGUUCGUAGUUUAAACUUUCUGUGCAAUUGAAAAUUCAAAUUGAAUUUCGAAUAAAAUAAGGCAAGAUAGGAUUAUUUGUCAUUAAGUCAUUUACCGUGAGGUCGCCAUUCACCGCUCAAGUCCCAUUCACCGCUCAUUUUGGGCCAAUCAUACAAAAAUGGUCAGAUGUUAGUAAAGUAUCGUAACAAAAGUUAAUGUAACAUGCUGUCACAUUUAAAAACUUUCAUUUCACCAUGUUUUUAUAUGGGUGUACCUGAAAUCACGUUCUCAAAAAAUAUUUCCUACACUGCGCUGCAGGACAACAUUGGAACUGUUCAGGGCAAACAGUGGAAAAAAUAUCCAACAGGUAAAACCCGUUAAAGAUUCCAUUUUGACAAAACAGGAUGAACUGAACGUCAUGAAUCAUCAAUACUUUAGUAAAUAAAAGUUAUUUUGUUUUAAAAAAUGGAUAGUUUCUGUGAUUCCAUGAAAAAAAUAAUCCAGUGAGCGGUGAAUGGAUCCAUUAUGAGCGGUGAAUGGAUGCAUGAGCGGUAAUAGGAGCCAAGAGAUUACACAUUUGAAUUUUUAUUUUUUCGGCUGUAAAUAUAUUUUACAAUCGCUUUAUAUUUUUUUCAAUAAUAAUAACAUAAUUGUUGAGUUGUUAACGUAAACUAAAGUGCAAUAUUUGCAAACGUCGAUUUUUAAUGUCAUAUACUUUACGAAAAUGCCGUUAAAUGAGCGGUGAAUGGCGACCUCACGGUAUAUAGUUUUUAAUUGUUUCGAUUUUUCUACACAUGUCGAUAAUAAAUGUUGAUAAUGCCCAUCGUAGACCAGAAGUUUGAAUCAUUUCUUUUUAUAUUUACGACGUGUUGUCGAGGCAACCUGUGCCAGGAAAAAAUAGCCAAACGAAUAACUUAGUGGUACUGUUCAAACAAAACCUAUCCGGGAUUGAAAUAGAAGAAUACUAGUGGAAAAGAUAUUAAAUAUGCUGUGCUAAUCGACUGUUCAUCCAUGUGGCUUAGUCUAGCUUAGAACUUCUACCGCCGUAGCAACCGUAGGACAUCGGAGUUUCCAUUUUACAAGUUUGCUCUAUCAACUUCCUUUCCAGCCAACGGAUGUGAAAUUUCGACGGUUUAAAACUCAGAACGCGAAGAAAGUCCAUAUCUAGAGUAUCGAACCAAGUGCAUUGCCGGAUUGAACGAGUGCCGUGGGUCUUUGGUAUUUUUUUUAAAUCGAUUUCCAAAGUAGCACCAUUCACUUCCGCCUGUCCAUGCGUUGAACAUAAUGUCGAAACUAGUACGCACUACUUCCAACAGCUUCCGACGAAAUGUUCAACGCAUAUAAAUUUCAGAAACCAAUUAGAUGAGAAAUUCACAAUACAGCUUUUUCAUAAUCCACAGGGAUUGGUCGGUGUUCACGCCUCUGAAAAGCAGCAACCUACAAGGAGUCCAAGAAUCAGAUUCACCGAAAGUUGCACACGGAAAUCAGUCACGAUAGCAGCAAUGGAACGCAGUAGAUUAUGCCUGCAAAACAACAAAGCAUCCGUUCAAGGAAGGAUCGUAUGUUCAUUACUUAUCUGCUUGUCGACCAGUUCAUCAAUAAGUUUGGCAGAUUAACACGUGAGAAACUUGUCCGUUAUGCCACAGAACUUUAAAGCAUUUUUUCCAAUAUCGUUAUUUUGCACGUUUUGUCGUACAAACAUGAAUAUGUUUUCAAAACAUCCUACUAACUACAAACUACUUAAAAAAACAUAUCUUCUAUCACAAUAACUCAUAGCGUGAUCAGCGCUUUAUAAGCAUCUAAUUUUAAUUUACCAACAAUUUCCACUUUAUAUUUUUCUAUAAUCCUGAUUUUAUCGAGAUGUUUUGAAAUGUUAUUCUUGAUUUCAGUCCUUCCCCGCGCACGCCGAUCGUUUUGUUUAUCACUGUUUUGUUUUUGUUUACGUUUCAGCACAUCGGGUGCAAACCAGCAUCGUAUCACUACGAAAAAAGGGAAGACGAUCAGACUCGGACGCAUAGCCAAAGGAUGUUUGUUCGACCGGAUUCACAACUACCACUGCAUUAUUUCUGUCGUACGCCCAAUACCUGGGCAAAAUGCGCAGCCUUCAGCAAGUACAGCUCAGCCGUUAGUCGAUGUCAACACAUCAGGUGCGGUGAUAGCAUACCGAGAGACGAGGAACUGGUUCCGACACCAUCACGGCGAGUUCGAUAUCGUCCAGAAACGGUGGAAAACAUCUACAGUGCCAUUUGUUUGCACAUAAUCACCAAAUUGGAACGAGGGGCCGAGUUAUCAGCACUUGCGGGAUGAAUACCUGUUGCUCCAAAACACUGCCGGCUAUCAGCUCGUAAAUAUUGACUUCAGCUGCAAGUAUCCAAGAAAAAGAGAUCUUCCUUUCGCACAAUUCACUGGGUUUCGCACUCGCGCUAAGGUAGUGUGCCGUAAUGAGGUAUCUGGACUGGGAAUAUCCUGUUGGCAUUGCUGUAUGAAGAAAUAAUUGAAGGCAUGCUGACUCAAUUCUGGCCUACGACCAUGCCCAUCGACAUACAACGCGUCGCCUAGGCAAGCUGUUACGCGAUCUACAUGGAUGUGUAUACUGAGUCAGUAUAGAACUGGCGAACGAAUAGCUUGCUAGUAAAGUUUGAACAAAACCUACCGGCACCUUAUAUCACAACUAUCUAAAACGUGGAUUUCUCUAGUACCUAUCGCUCCUUCUUUUCUGCCAAGUUCAAACAAGAUUGCUAACGAAAAAGACGGCACAAUCUAAUAACAGUACCUACAAACCCCAUGGCAGUCUGCUACAGCGCCUAUCGUAGGCCAGUGGUACGAAGCCGUUUUGACGUUUGCCACGAGUGCCAAAGGCAAUAAAGUACUCGAUCUACAUGGAUACAGGCUCUGUAAGAAGAAAACAACCAAAACCCUUACUUGGUGGUCUUGUAUACACAAGAAGUGCAAGGCACGUGCCGCGACAAUCGGUGAGAGGUACAUAAAAUUUGGCAAGCUGUACCACGACCAUCCCAUAAGAAAGAGUUCCAAGUCGUGGAUUCCUUUGGUCCCAAUUGACUUAUCCCGUCUACCGAAUGCGACGGAGAUUGCCAGGGCGACGAAAAAGCCUUCGAAACAUCGUUAGGUUUUUGGCCGACCAUCUGUUAAAUUGUCCCAAUCAAGUUCUAGUACACCAUUUUGAUAUCAUGUCGUAUUCACCAAUGGAGAGAUAGUGGAAAAAAAACAUCGGCACUAGAUUCUAUACCGUUAAAUUCAUCGUUAUUGCAUUAAAAAUAUGUUUCACCUCAUUUCUACAACUCAUCUGGUAUAUCUAACCGAAUCCUAAUAUCUAUCUGGUCCUUUUACCCUUGUGAGCCUUGCAUUGACUGAGGAAAUAAAAUAUUUUUUAUGAUCUACUUAUGAAACAUCUAAAAAACUUGUUGAUUCCUUCAUAAUAAGGUCCCGAAGGUUAUACAGUACACGUUUGACUGAUUAUCCAUGCGUAUUUGUCUAACUUAGAAUUCCAUCCCUUCCUCCGUAGGAACCCUUGAGAGUGACCAUCGAGCUUCGCAUAUCCCUAGCUAUAGUACCAAAUCUUCCGCCACCUUUGUCCAUAAGCCGGUUGACCAAAGUCCGGAACCCAUCGAGGUGCAUCGUGCUCCUUCCAUCUCCGGUGCGAUCAAAUUCAUUCGCAGUCAGAAAAAGAAUGCCCAAUUGGUGUACAAGGGUUUCCUGUACAAUCGAAAGUUGACCCAGCAAAAUGGCAAUACCACGUGGCGGUGCAUCGAUGUUACGAAGUUACGCUGCAAGGCGAUUUGCGUUACCAAAUUCAACAAAUUGAUACGUGCCAAACGGCAGCAUACUCAUGAGAACCAUGAGAGUAAGAUCAGGAAUCGACCGCUGUACGACUAUCCGGAAGAUUUGGAAGAAUAUCUGGACAUCUACUCCAGGGAUCCUAUAUCGGCGUCGCAGAAGCUAGAUGUCAUCGACGACGGAACGGAUUACAAGCUGGUCGUUCGGGAUACCAUCGAGGAAGUCGUGCAUGAAGCACCUGAGAGUCACAUAGGAGACAUGAUGGCGAGUGGGACGGAUACGUUCUAUGCGACACCUCAGUAACACAUUCUAGGACUACAAUUGAAACUAAAUCGUAAUAAUAAAGGCUGGAAAAAGUGCGAGCAGAUGAAAUUUGCCUGAGAAGUAGAGAAAUUCCGCAUGUUACCAUAAGAACAUAUAAUAAAAAAAAUGACAAGGGCUUAACGAAUGUCUAGAAUGUUAUUAUAUUGAUUGCAAAACGUCAUUUCCGACUACAGUAUUUAUGAUAAUUGAGUUUCAAUAAACAUGUUGAAAAAAAUCGAUCGAGUUUCACUACAGUACUAGAGUAUAAAUAAAUAAUUUCAAUAAUACUAACAGAAUACGUUUGUUUGCUUAUCUGUGGCGUUUUAAGGUGCUUACUCGCAGGAGCUGAAGUUCAUCAAAAGCCCAUGGUCUACGCCGUGUCUGGUGAUCAAUGACUUCCUGUACAACUGUCACAGUACUAGAGGGAACAAGGUGUACUGGCGGUGCCACAACUACUCUCGGAAGAAGAAGGAAGAACGAUGCAGGGCUAGAUGCGUAAUUGUGAAUGGCAGGCUGAGCGCUCUCACAGGAACGCAGCACAACCACGAUCCACACACGGAGAAAAUAGCCAAGAUUAGUCGACGUAACAAUAUGGUUGAUGAAGUACUAGAUGCAGCCAAGGCGGAUCCACCGCCGAGCUAUCUCACUAGUGGGCUUUACAGUUCAAGUUUUUUAUCCGGAGGGUCUACUUUGCUGGACAGCGGCUCCCCGGAUAUCGGUUUGAUCAAGAUCGACGUAUUGCCUAAAUUAGAAGACUACGGCUUGCCAGUUGAACUGUAAACAUGUAUUUUUAAGCUGAAUUUUUACCUCUGAAUCGCAAUAAUAAAACUAUCAAUGUUCGUGAAGCAAUACAAACCAACGUGUUUUCGAUGAUUUGAAAAUUUUCCAUCGUUUGAUUCUAGUACUGAUAAAUCCAUUAUUUCUUUGUACAGUUUUAGACUUCACCCCUGACGACGCCGCUGAGUGCCGGACGUUCAUCAGAAGCCAGCGUGGGGCUCCCCUGUUGGCCCUUGACAAUUUUAUCUACCGGUGUGAACGGGUUCGAAAAACGCGCUCCUAUUGGCUGUGCAUUCGUUACAAAAGCUCCAAGUGCAAUGGUCGCGUAAUAUGCCAGGGCAAUAAGAUUCUCAAGGUGACACAUCACUGCCACGCGAACGACGAGCAGCGUAUUAACUCGUCGAUUCUCGAGGAAACGGAUCUGUCCAGCAUCAAUAUGGAGGUGUGGUACAAGCAGACCAUGAUGCUCAAGAAGCAAGAAUCAAAGCGAAAAUAAAACUAAUACAUUCUAGUACUUCAAUACAUACAUCGCUGGUUAUGUUUGAUAUGUCCCAAACCCAUGCCAUCUAUUCUUUUACUUCGCUUAUGAAACUAAUGAAAACUUUUCUCGUUGUAGCUUACAUAACGACUAAUACCACCACAUCUAGUACUACACUAGUCGAAAGCCAGAGUGGAGUGCAGAGUGUCUACUAUCGGAACGAUUUGCGGGACCAGUUGUAUCCGGAAGCCGUGCAAUACAUCCGAAGCCGCCGUGGGCACCCGCUGCUAGUGUUUCGAGGGUACAAAUUUCGCCGGAAUGGCGGCUGCAAGGAGAAGGGCUACUGGCGCUGUGCUUCUUUUUGCAAGUGCCCUGGAAGAGUUACUACCGUCGAUGGGACCAUCGUUAAGUACCACGUGCACAAUCAUGAACCGCCUUUCAAAGAAUCCGCCGAGUUGUUCUAGGAUUGGUGGAGGCACAAUUUCGAUUAAAUGUAUCAUAAUGAAUGAUUAUGAUGAGCAAACAUAAUAAAUCUCCUUUAGAAUAUUUUAUAGACCAUGAUAAUUUUGAUGCCAGAGCAGAAGUUAGAAUUAGUUGAGUAAAUUGCGUCUUCUUGUUGCUAUUUAUAGAAUGGGAUCAUCAAGGUUUCCGGGCGCUGGAGAAACAGGUAUUCCUUGCCCACGACAUUGCCAACAGUUGGAUGGCCAACGAGAAAAUCAGUUACUGCCAGAGCCAGCGUGGGAGGCCUUUGCUUAUAUUUCUGGGCUACCGUUUUCGCCGAGAGAUGGUGAAGCAAUACAAAACCUACUGGCGAUGUCUGGUGGACAAAUGUCCCGGGCGGAUGAUAACAAUGCUUCCAGGGGAUACGGUAAUGCGUUAUCGGAUACAUAAUCAUCCGUCCAGUUUCUAGAAAACGAUCAAAUAAAUUCCGCUUAUUCAAAAAUAUACAAAUGUGGUUGUUUCAUUACGGGUUUGAAUGCGGUACUAGAAUACGAUCACAAUCAACUUAUACGAUCUCUUUUGAUUUUCUUCAAGCUGCUGGAUUGGAUUUCAUUUUCAGUCAACGAGGACAUCCUCUGCUGGUUGUUGAUAACUUCCUAUAUCGAAAAAAUCGAGGGCAUUACUGGCGCUGUAUUCGAUGUACCAAGUUCAAGUGUCGCAGUCGACUGAUUGUGAAGCCUGGUCAGAAACCUGCUCGUAUUGAAGAUCACUCGCAUGGGCCGGAAACGGAGAAGAUUAGUUGGGGUCGGACGGUGAUGGAGAACGUGAAAUCUCAUGAGCAGGGGGAUAUCGUUUUUAGAAUGCGACAACCGCACUGCAAAGUAGAUUAUUUGAUAAAUCCAGUUAAGGAAUAAAUCUCUGCCAGCCAUUCUAGUACUUCAAAUCUUUUACUUGAUCGUUUGAAACUAGUACUUUUUAUCUGCAGUGUUUUUACAGGAAGCUCUUUUAUCGUUUCAGUUACUGCGAUUCCGUACUGUCCUCCUGCGUUGGGCGAUCGCAAUCCGGUUCCAAAGGUGUGGUACUCCUUUCCACUGUGCUACGUGAUCAAUCGACGCGGAACAAUGAACCUGCAUUUCCGAGGUUAUAUCUACAUCCAAAAAAAGCGGCACAACCGCACAAUGAACUGGAUCUGCAACAAGAGCAAUACGACACAAUCGAGCUGUAAAUCGAGGAUAUCCACCGAGUGCAACAACAAGAUCCGCUUUGGGGUCCACUGGCACAAUCAUGGACCCGUGGAUAUGAAUGAACUGUUGUGAAAUAAAUAGAAUUGAUUGAAUGAGUCUUUUUUUUUUUUCUAACAAGCAGGAUUACAGUUAUCCUAUUCAUUGCCAGAAAGGAUUCCCACUGUGUUCAUAACCAAUUUUGUCACUUUUCAGAAUCUUCUAAUCUAGUAAUGCCCGGAAUAUACGCUGGUAUUUGGUACAAGGAGGAACUGGAUUUCAUCGAGAAUCGUCGUGGCGGGUUCAGUUUGAGGCACAAGGGAUAUCACUUCAUCACGGAACGUCGCUACAAUAGUACGGUGAAUUGGGUAUGCAAUAAAAGCAGUAGCUCGGCAAGCCGUUGUCCGGCACGGUGUGUCACUCAGGGUCACCAAAUGAUCAAGUUCAGCAAGCGAAAGCACAACCACGAUGCGGUGUACAAAGUUAAAGAAAUGUAGUUUCAAUAAAUAUCGAAUCAUAGGAGAUGUGUUUUUGUGUAGCACCAGAAUGGUAGAAUAAUUUAGACAUGAGUUCUCAUACACUUCACUUCGGCGUAUAAUUUCAGAUCGAGUUCGAGGAUUUCUGUACGACGAGCAGUACGAACUGGUUUGUAAUCGAAAGGGCGGCCUCAACCUGUGCUAUCGAGGAUACCUUUAUCGGAAGAAGACCCAGUUCGCCAAUACGUUGAACUGGGUUUGUGCCAAUCCCAAUUACAAUAGGUUCGCCGGUUAUGGAAGCGUGAAUGGGGGCUUGUGCGCAGCUCGAUGCAUUACAAACAAUAGCGGAGGGUUAAAACUGAGUAAAAAAGGCCAUAAUCACCCACCGAUGUUGCAAUACGACGAAGGGACUUCGGUAAAACUUUGCAUCGAAACGCUCGAAAAUACACAAUACAAUAGCGAUUAAAGCAUCGCACAUGAAUGUUUCUAUUCUAGUUCUUUAUUUUGUAGCAAAUUUUGUUACAGUAGUCAAAAGCUGUUAUAUUCAAUUGAUUUUUAAUGUUUUCCUUUAACAUUUAUUCCAGCAAAUUUCGACCAACUUAAAACUGGAAUUUGGCUGAAGAAGCCCUACGAGAUCGUACCGAACCAGAAAGGCGGAAAGAAUCUGAUGUUUUUCGGCUUCGAAUAUCGAAAGGAGGCUUCUUUCAAGACAUCGAUCAAUAGGGCAGAUCGGUGAAGUACUAGAUUUGUAGUAAUGAGCUGAAUUUUAGUAUGGUGAGAAGGUUAAUUCUCCGUUUCUGCAAAGAAAGAGUGCAAAAAGCGUGGGUAUUAUGAUUCCUUGCCUAAUUUGAUGCUGUUUGAGCAAAACUUUGGGAAACAGUGUUGUUGUUUUCUCCAUUUCUUGCAACAUAAACAACAUAGUUAUCCAAAGUUUUGCUCAAACAGCAUCAAAUUAGGCAAGAAAUCAUAAUACCCACGCUUUUUGCACCAUUUCAUUGCAGAAACGGAGAAUUGACCUUCUCACCAUACUAAAAUUCAACUCAUUACUACAAAUCUAGUACUACACCGAACGUGCCCCAUUGGGUCUGUAGUCGUAACUCAGUUGGCCGCUGCAGGAUAAGGCUUAUUCAGAACACCGUCAACACCGAGAUUAAACUAGGACAACAUGGCCAUAAUCAUCCUCCAACGAGUAUUCGAACCACUAAUUGAUUGCCUGACCAAUAAAAAUGGAAUUGCAUUUUUCAGCGACGGUUGUUUCACUUGUCGAUAAAUUCUAGUACUUCAUUGACUGUUCGAAUUUCUUAAAUACUGAUGCCUUUCUCAUUUAUUAUGUAUUUCUACAAAAUUUAGCAACUGAUUCUGAAAACAUAGCCAUCUUUACGAGAACAAUGCGUGACAAGGAGCAACUACUCUACCUUGGACAGCCGUUUGUUUUUGAGAAACUGGUGAUGACCCAGAACUCCACCCCGAAGAAAAUUUGGCGCUGCAAUCAGUGGUGGAAUCAAAAGUGUCGUGCCCGAGUGUAUACUAUUGGAAACGUGAUAACACCUCUGAAUCGCUACCACACCCACUCCGACAUAAUCAAACGGAAGCGGCGAGUUACGAAGAAAAAAGCGACUAUAGUUAUCACAACUGGUCCCCCUAGAGAUCACACCAAUAAGUCGGUUCAGGAACAAUAUACCGAGUUUGUAGUUGAUUGCAUACCGGAGGGUUCUGAAAGUGACGAACAGAAAAAAGAGGAUACGACCGAUUACUAAUAUUAGAGAAAUACAUCUUUAUUUACGAAUACAAGUUCAAGCGUUGAUCAGCUUUCUCAGUUUUUAGUGGGCAGUUUAACCAAAAGCUUCUAAUAACAUAUUGUUUAAUAUCAGUUCCAGAAUCGAUGAAACCUUCACCGCACAAAUCACAAGGCAUUUCAUUUACGGUACAAACGCAUCCGCCGAGUCCAAUAGUCAAGCCGCCACCGGAACAGUGGAAGAACGCAGGGCGUCCGGCAGCUGAGGCGCCAUCUACUAUGGUUCCACUGCACAGCGGCAGCGCCGUCUUUAUCUCAACGAUAGAUCUCGUAAACAUCUACACUCCGAAGGCGGCACUCUAUACGGCACGGUUGAUUGACGUCAUUUUCGGACGGCAAACACUGCUAAAGGCCUGUGUGACUCGGACGAAGAAUUCCGGCGACUUGGUCCCGCUAGAUGAGGACAAACUGAAAUCAGUUAUAGUACAUGUGGUGCAUGUUUUCAAGAAACAACACGUCGAAAUUUCCGAAUCACUCGUGCUGGGCUACAUCCGGAACCGCCUCUGUUACCUUCAGAGUUCAAAGAAGUACUAGAAUCCGUUUGCCAUAACCUAUUAUGAAAAGAUAAAGUGGAUUAAAUGCGUUAUUUUCAUAUCUGUUCGUUUUUUUUCUGAUAUUGUUCAACAAGAUUAUACGCAACGGAACUCGAAUAAUAACCAAUUUCUCUAUUUUUUUUAGAAAUGGAUUUCCGUUUUGAGCUGUCUUCUAGUGGAGCUCGCCAGCUGGUAUGGAAGGGCUACGUUUACCACAAGAAUACGUCGACCGGUAGGUGCACCUAUUGGCGCUGUGCACAUGCUGCUCGACUGAAAUGCAAGGCGACCGUGGUGACGGAGUAUGGCGUGAUGGUGCGGGUCAAGAAUCCCUAUCACAAUCAUCUUCCAAUGAAGCGACUGGUGUACGGCAUGGGAAAAAAUCAGAAAAGAAACCUGAAAAACCAGAAUCUUUUCAACAGCUAUAGGAGGGUUGAAUAAAGACUAUGAUGGAAUAGAGCUGCCUAGUUUACCGUUGAUAGAUUUUUCCUGAAUGUCGACGCUGAAGGUGCUCACAAUGAUAUCUAAAUCUCGUUCUUUCCUCACAGCCAUCUUCGUUGCUGUCAGUACUAAACAACAGUUGCUUAAACUGCGCAACAAGAUUUAUCUGAAAACAAAGGGACGAGCUUACCGGAGCUUCUUCUCUUGCAUAGAGUACAAUUGUCCCGGCCAGGUCAUGUUUCACGAGUUGAAAGGAGGCCAACUCAAAAUUAUGGCCGAACAUAACGACGAUUGCACGUGCGACUACUAUAAGGAUCGUCCGGAGGAACACUUGGGCCAGCUUAGCAAAGCCGAACUGACGAGACUGGAAGAAACGUUGAUGAGCAAAGACUUCGAUGAUACCUGGGUGGAAAUAUAAGUGCAGUGUAGCUUUUAUUUAUUUUUUUAAUUUUUAAAUGUAGCGUGAAAAAUCAGGGAGUUCAUCUUUUGUCUGCGGAGCAUCCUAUCGUAGCUUUCCGGUGAAAGUACACUAAAAAAAAGGGAACCAUUGUUUUGAACCAUACAUGUGUUCUUUUUAUUUUUGACUCCCUCGUUCUUAUUCUUCCAUAUAUGCUCAUUCGAAAAAUCUACGCAUAUUCACAGACUGUUAUUGCAGAUCAUCGCCAUGUCAAACUGAAAGUAAAUGUUUAUUCUUACUCAAAACCCAUGACAAAAUUAAUCUAGUACUGCACAUUGUAACAGACACAAAUACAACCUGAAAAGAUUCGUCCCCCAUUAAUAAAAGCUAUGAAAUCAAACAAAACGUCUGCUAAUCUAGUACUGCAUGUUUUUCUAUCUUCCGCUACUGAUCACUAGUUUACAUUUCUCUGCAGCCACGGAACUGGACUCUAAACAACCACUGAUGGUCCUUAGUAGAGCCGGCACGUUGCAGCUUCGUUACCAAGGUCACACAUUUAACAAACAUGUAACUCGUGGCGAAAAAGUCUACUGGAGAUGCAGUCAGUACCUGGUGUACCGGUGCAAAGUGCGCAUUCAGACCAUGUUGGAUGAGUUCUCCAUCAGCAAGAAUGACCAUAAUCAUCCAGUAGUAGUGCGGCCUCGCGCGUACGGAUCGCUGAAGCUGUUGAAGCAACGGUUGGGCAACAUUAGAUCGUGAUACUAAAUAAAUAUGACAAAAGAUCUACAAUUUAAAGGUUUAUGAUACCGAAAUUCUCUCGCAUUUUUGUAUUGUAACAGUGCACUCAGCCGAUCAUCUCAUUCUUGUCUUCUAAUCGAGUGAUUCUAAUUUUAGCUGCAACGUCAUACGCCCUACCAAUCAACAGACCAGAGUUUGAGUUCCGAAGAUCGACACAACGUGGCACUCACUUGCUGAUGGUCAACGGAGUGAAGUUCUUUCGCAAUCGCCAGCGAAACGAUAAGCAUUACUGGAAGUGCCAUCAGUACUAUAAACGCAAGUGUCCCUGUACGGUCGUCAUCAAUGAGACCACGUCCAAUAUCACUGUAAAGUACAGACACAAUCACGACGAAAGUUUGACGUCAUUUGAUUCUAGUACUACAGCAGCUCGAGUUUAUCCAAAUAAGCGCAUCAAAUAAACAUUUUUGCAAGAUAACAUGUGUUUUGUCUUGAUAAUAUUUCGCCUUUUGGUCAUACCUUACCAUUUCUAACCGUCAAACCUACUACCUUUCAGAAAUCUACUUCACGAAAUCGAGCCGAGGCCGUCCGGCAAUCAUUAUCGAUGGCGUCAAGUAUCUAUUCAUGUCGGAGAAUCACAAGCGAGUAGUUUGGCGGUGUUCGUCAAUGGCCACCAGCAAGCUCAAAUGUCCAGCCCGGAUAUUGCAGUACAAGAACCCCGAGCGCUUUGUCAUUCACCGGGAAAAGCACAUCCAUGCGCCUCUGAAGCGUCACAAGGUGGCUUUCAUCGCUCAAGAAAUGUUCACAGUUUUGGAUUGAGAAGUACGUGUCGAUAUCACAGCAUGUCGUUUGGAAAUAAAUUUUAUAGUUUUAUCCCUGCGCGUUUGCUUCGACCGUUCUAGUACUUCGUUUUGGAAAGAUUUAAAUAUUCACGCUUUACUUACAGUUUUGCAACUUUCUUUGUAGAGUACAAGCACCAUCUGUCCGUGACGAGCAGUAAUGGCCAGGUGCUUACCUACCGCAGCAGCCAGAAGGGUCGGCUACAACUGUCGUGCGAUGGAUUCUACUACGUCAAGGAGAAAACCGUGAAGCAGAAGGACUAUUGGCGCUGCAUCUAUUACACCACGAAGAUCAAAUGCCAUGGGCGAUUACACACCUUGAACGGGGAAAUUCACCACAGUACGCCUCACAAUCACGUGGCCGGAGUGUUCAAACGGUCCGACUACAAUCGUCUUUCGGAAAUUAUGAUAAAUACGGAAUCGGGUAUUGCCGGGCAGCCGUCGACAAAAUCUAUCUGUAUAGAAAGUGUAACUAAAGUCGAACGAUACUGAAAAUAAAUCUUUAAGUUUAGUUAUAAAUAUUUGUGUUGGCUUCGGAGUUGGUCGUAGAGCGCUACUGAAGGCGAACCAAAUCGAAACCAAUUAGUACUGACUUAUUUGUUUGGUUCGCCCUAUUUUUAGGAUCCACCACAAUGACGGUGAUGGACACGUUGGACGUACCGGCUAUCGAGUUCAGCAGAACGCAGCGAGGUCGCACCAUGCUGAUCUACGACGGGUACAAAUACGUGGAAAAUCGUCAGAGCAACAAGAACGUAUUCUGGCGCUGCUCAAAAUACGUCAAGUAUGCCUGCCGGGCGACCUGUGUGACGUCCAAGAGCCCGAGUGAAUGUCCUAUUCGGCUGGCUGGCAAUGCCCACUCGCAUGGGCCGGAAAAAAUGUUGGACAGUGACAAAAUUGAACCCUCCGAUGAAUCCGACAUUCAGUUCCGGUUGAUGCAAUUGUACUAGAUACGCUUGUUGAUUGAAGUACUAGAUUUUUAGCCGAAAUGCAACUAUUUAUUGGAAGUAAAUUCGAAUUUCUGAUUGAUAGAUACAAUUUUCUUGUACUUCAAAUUGGUUGUAGAGAAAAUGUGCUUGCAAUCACAUUAAAAAGUAUGGACAAAACAUCAGUUACCAGAAUUUCCAGUACGGAAAAUGUAAACACGCAAAUCUAGUACUACAUUUUGAUGAAAAUUUUCUUUCGAAGGUAGUUUAUCAAAAUUCUGAAUGGGGCACGUUCGGUGUAGUACUAGAUUUGUAGUAAUGAGCUGAAUUUUAGUAUGGUAAGAAGAUCGAUUCUCCGUUUCUGCAAUGAAAUGGUGCAAACAGCCUGGGUAUUAUGAUUGCUUGCCUAAUUUGAUGCUGAUUGAGCAAAACUUUGGAUAACUAUGUUGUUUAUGUUGCAAGAAAUGGAAAAAAACAACAACACUGUUUACAACACUGUUUAAACACAACAAGUACUUCACCUAUCUGUCCUAUUGAAAUCUUGUCAUAAGCGGUUUAAUUUCUAAGCAGAUGAAUCUAGUACUGCAUCGUGAGAUAUAUGUACAAAAUAUAUUGCUAUUUAUAUUGAAAUAAACUUUCGCAUUUGCAGAUUUGAUUAAUGAUACUCGUUUUGAUGAAGAUCCACCUGUUGGUAUCUCAAUAACGAUCUUUUGUACUUUCAGUAACAAACCAAUUCGUGACAGCAAAGUUUGGAUACACUCAACGGGGACACGUGAUGCUAAUGUACAACGGGUACGGAUUCAUCAAAGACCGCCAAACGGCGAAGACCUGCAACUGGAAGUGUUCGCUGUUCCGAAGGAUGAAAUGUCGUGGGCGAGCCAUUACCAAAAUCGCCGACGGUAAGCACAUGAUGAGGAUUACCCAUGAGAAACACACGCACAGUCGGGAUGAGUAUCGAAAAGAGAUGUAAGGCACGUAAUCAUUAAAAAUGCAAGAAGCAGGAGCCGGAGGACAAACCCGAAUCAAUAACAAAGUCAUACUAGCGAGGCGGACAUUAGUAGCAGAAUGCUAGUUCUCAAAUACCAAAAGGUGAGAACUUCGCGAACAAUAUCAAUGCCUAUGCAACAUAUGUAUAUGUGAUUUUAUCAUUUAAUUUUCAUAGGACACGAUCGGUGAACUACUAGAUUUGUAGUGAUGAGCUGAAUUUUUGUAUGUUGAGAAGGUCAAUUCUCCGUUUUUGCAAUGAAAUGGGUCAACAAGCGUGGGUAUAAUGAUUACUUGCGUAAUUUGGUGCAGCUUGAACAAAACUUUGGAUAACUGCGUUAAUCGAGUUGCAAGAAAUGAAGAAAAGAAAUACACGGUUACCCACGAUUUUUGCACCAAUUCUUUGCUAAAACGGAGAAUUACACCAUACAAAAAUUCAGCUCAUUACUACACAUCUAGUACUACACCGAACGUUCUUGGAUUGAUAAGAAUCUGCCCUGGCUUCGCUGCAAAUACUGCAAGGUUGCCAAAAUGACUUAUUUUUAUUCAAGAGUUUUUAUUAAUCACAUGGAAUUCAAAACAAAAACAAAUGCAUAAUCUUGCUAGAAUGAUAUUUUAACAAGAAAUACUGAUGGAGGGAAAUGAUCGUUUAAGCUAGAAAUAUCACAAAGCCUGCGAAAAAUAUAUCUGUAGUACUAGAUAACAUGGGCGUCCAUUGAGUUUUCUAUGUUGAGUAAAGAUGUUUCUAGAAUUUUCUGCAAGUUAUUUUAGGCAUCAACGAUACCUCAACAAUGAAUAGCUCCAAAAUAAUGCCUUGUUUUUCCAUUGUAGAUCCCCCGAGCCUUAGGGCAGCUCAAUUCGGUUACACCCAACGUGGAAAGAUGAUGCUCCUGUACGAUGGUUUUGCCUACUUCAAAGAUCGUGAUGCCCGGAACAGCUGCAACUGGAAGUGUUCGCUGGCCGGAAAGCGAAAAUGUCGCGCCAGAGCCGUUACCAAGACGGCCUUUGGACGCCAUAUGAUGAAAAUUACCAACCCCAAUCACAACCACGACCGAAAAGCGUAUCGAUUCGAUACGGUGAAUUUGUUUUCCGACAAGAAAUAAAAUUAUCAUUUGUGCAUUGUACUGCUUAGUGUUUCAAUCGAUAACUAUACUGCGGUAGACAUCUCUAUGUGACUUUUGGAGCUAACUGUAUUCUUCAUCAUUUUAGAACUAUUCGCUAAUGCAUACUUUGGAAAAACUCGACGCGGUCACCAAAUGCUUCUGCAUGAAAAUUACAGCUACGUGCGGGAAAAGCAGAAGCAAAGUACAACCAACUGGAAGUGCUCCUGGCAUGUCAAAUUUCGUUGUAAGGCGCGAGCAGUGACGAAAGAAAUCGAGGGUCAGCUUUUUGUUCGAAUAACCUGCGGUUUCCACACUCAUCCUCCGAACAAUGGCUCCAAGUCUGAUGAUGCGUCGAAACACUACCACGAGAACUAUUAGACAGUGGAAAAUGGUACCAUGGUAUACUACGACCAAACACUGGCUCUGUGCAACCGGAGCAUUUGAAAUUAUUUUGUUAAUCAUACAUUGCCAGAAUAAACUUUAUAUACAAAUUGAAGCUUUUUAGACUUAUACGAACAUCCGUUUGUGUUGAUCAAGUACUUCACCAUGUAAACUUUAUAUUCAAACUUAUUUUUGACACUCCAACCCUUCGCGUCGUUUAAUCGACUGAUCUAGUACCCCAUCAUGUAAAAUAAUUAUCUUUCCCUCUUUUAGAUGACAUGCACGGCUUCUCGCAACUGGCUCACUAUGAGUUCACGUCCAGAGGAACGCAAUGUCUAGUAUACGAUGGCUAUUUCUACAGCAAAAACAAAACAAAUGAGGGUGGCGUCCGGGUCAACUGGAAGUGUCGUUACUACCAACGGUUCAAGUGCAAAGCACGAGCACUCACUAAAACAAUCAACGGCUGUGACUAUGUGAAGGUCUCCAGUACGGAGCACACCCACAUGCAAGAGAUGUACUGUAAAGACCUGCGACGGAAGCGGCGUAGAGCUAUACAAACAGGAUCGUUAGACUAUCAAUUCCUGGGCUGAAGAUCUGUGUGAUCAAUAAUAAAAAUAUCUUUGUGGAAAACAUAUUCUUUAAUGACUCUGAUUGCUUGUUCGUUUUAGCUAAGCUAGAUGGGACAGAUUAUUUUUAUGCUGAUUUAUUUGGCUGUUUUUAGGAGGGGCUGACAAAACAGCGGAUCUGGAAAUGGCACAGUUUGGAUCAACCCAGCGGGGGCGACCCCUUCUAGUACAUCAAGACUACACGUACAUCCGCAAUGGAGAGUUUGGCGGCACAAUCAAUUGGCGCUGUUCGGCCUAUCGACGACUGAAAUGCAAAGCCAAAGCCAUAACGGUCAAGCACAAUGGCGUGGAGUUCGUAAAACUAUCCUAUGCCUUACACAGCCAUGGCCCCAAGACUGGAAGCGAUCAGCAGUGGAAGCAUGAGUCGGAAACGGUUGAUUUCCUGCGCUGUGAAGAGGAUGAAGAAGCCAUGAUAAAGUGUUUCUUAGAAAAUUGAGAUACGUUGAAUAAAAACGACAAACUUAGAUGUAUUUUCUAUGCCUUUGUUUACCAUUCUAGUACUACACCUGAGUGUUUGUUGUCAUUCACAUUAUAUCAUUUUAUCUCCUAUACAGGUAACAUUAUUUAUGUGCUGUCGAAACGAGGCACUAAGCAUCUGUUCUUCGAUGGCAACACGUACACACCGAAUGAGAGACCCUAUCCCGGGCAGCGUUCCAGGACGUGGAAGUGCACGUUGUACUACCGAUUGAAAUGCCGAGCCCGUAUCGUUACCAGUGAAGCCAACGGGCUACCCAAGUUGCGUGUGGUAGUAGCCGAACAUACCCACGAAAAGCUGUUUCCCCAUUUGAGCGAGAAAUUCCGAAGUCUAUUCUAGAUCAACGAAGACACAUACCAAAAUCUAGUCCAUCACCGAUUGAUCUCUAUUUUACUCUAGUCUUAUUAAAUCUUAUCGAUUUAGAAAUAAAUGUUCGUGUGCUUUGAUGAUAUGAGUGUUUGGAAGGUUUCAGCUCGUAAUCCUUUUGUCAUGUGUGGUCAGAAGAAUCUAAUCAUUACUGUUUCUCAUUUACUUCUAGACCCGUACGACUGGGGUCCGCUUAGUGCCAUUCGAUUCGUUCACUAUCCGAUUAAAAGCAAAGUGAUAACGAAACUUUUCCAUCAAGGGUUUUCGUACUACCGGAGCAAGCAGGUUAACCAGGCCACCUAUUGGGUGUGCGAUCGUACAAAGCAAAGCAAUUGCCGAGCUCGGAUCACAAUUUUCGAAGAUCAAAGAGUGUACAAAGUGACAAACUCACAUCACACACAUGACCCAAUGUAUACAAAGCUUUGUUUCUAAUAAAUUCGAGUAACUCAUCAUCCCGUUCUACUACUUCAUCCUUUCUAUUGAUUAUUUUUUAUUAUUAGUGUUGAUAACUUAUCCAUCUUCUAGAAAUCGAUUACAUUCCGCCGACUUCGUUGGUUGCCACCAUCAGACCCGACAUCAGUGUAGUACCAGAACAGUAUUUGGUGAAACUAGAACAAGAGAUUCACAUUUCCACCGUGGUUGGUCAACGAGGCAACACAAAGUUGCUGAUCGAAGGAUACACGUACAUUGUCAACAAGAGAAGUAACGGAAAAUGCUAUUGGGGUUGUGCUAAAGCUGUACCCUUCCGUUGUCGCGCCCGUCUGAUAACAGAUGACAUCAACUUCUACGAUGUGACGUUCAAAAAUCUAGUGCACAAUCAUCGGCCGAACGAAACUAAACGACGAUAAAAACUAACAUCAGAUUUCUGGAUAUGAAAUAAAGCCAAAUUCUUGAACACAAACAGUUUUCUAUGUUUUGUGAAGUACUAGAUUGAUUUGUCGAACUUUUUUUGCUAUCAUCUAAUUCGUUUUUAAAUCUACUUUCAGUGAAGAAAGCACGCCUGUCGGGAGUGCUGAAUCUUGCUGCAUGGACAUUUACACCCGGACAACGAGGUAAACCCAAGCUGGUGAUCGAAAACAAUUCCUUCUUCCGCACCAAAGGGGACACCCAGCGCUCGUACUGGUCCUGUUCGGCGUACAAAUCCAAGAAGUGCAAAUGCAAAGUGGUAACGCAUCGAAAUAGUUUGGUCGUAAAGUACACUCACAAGAGCCAUACGCAUCCGAACGAGUACAACGAUCUGUCCAAGAUUAAUCUGAUCGAUGUGGACAUCAACGAAUUUUACGAUAAACCGGUCGGCGGUGCCGCCUUUGAAGUCAAGAAAGAACCAUCCCUUUAAAUGUUGUUCUAUAGGAUUCCGAAUAAAGUGUCUCUUUUGUAACAUAAGCUAGAUCGGUAACCACAAGUAGUUCUUGAGUUUAAAACAAAAAUAGAAUAACUCUAUUUUCCUAUGAAACUGUAAAAGUUUCCCCUUUAUUCGUUUAUAGGUAAAUCAAGAUUUUAAGGAAUUAUAACCAAGUGACCGUGUACGCCCAUGAUGGUUUUGGACGGAUACAAUCAAUUUAAAAUACAAUCUUGCCUUUUCCAAAUAUCAGUGCUGAGAGGUUAUCCCUCUACUAACAAUUGCAUACUCAUUUUUUUUUUAGAAAAGAAUAACUACGGAGCGAUGUGGAGCGGACCUGGUGUGAUGGUUAGAACACAUGACAAUCACGCCGAGGACCUGGGAUCGAAUCCCACUCCCGACAAAACUCACAAAAUGUGGGUUCUUCCUUCGGAAGGGAAGUAAAACGUGGGUCCCGAGAUGAACUAGCCUAAGGCCUAAAAAUCUCGUUAAUACAGAUAAAAAAAAACUACGCAGCCCAGUUUGAAUUCGAGGGCAGAGAUGUGAUGUGAGAUGUGAACUCCAUACAAAAAUAAAUAUCAUCGUCUUAUUUUUGCAUGAUUCGUCGAGAAAUGGUGAGUCUUUUUUACGCGGUUUUUUGAAUUUUGAACUGAGUUUUUUUUACGCGGUACGUAUCUCCCGCGUAAAAAAAAACCUGACUGUACGGUUUCCCCAAGCUGCGCCUGGAUGGGUACAUUUACUUGCGCAAUGUCAAAAAGAGCGGAAAAAUCUACUGGGUGUGCGAGCGAGCAAAGAAGACCAAAUGCAAGGCACAAGCUAUAAUCUAUCGAGGAAAAAUACGUAUCAUAAUCAACGAGUUCGACCACAAUCACCGACUGGGAAAAAUGUAAAUAUACGUUGACUUUGCAUAAAAAGUACAUUAUCUCAUGAUGAUGCCCUUAUCCCCCUGUGCGGCAUUCAUAGUGAACAGUUGUAUGGUACUAAUGCAGAACACAAGCAAUAAGCGUUAAAAUUUCGGUUCAUUUCCAAUGAUAAAUCAGGUUCAAAGACCAUUGUCAUAAAAUUGAUGUCAUGCAUGAUAAACAUCGAUUAUCUCCUAUUGAUUCAGUCGUGGCUAUACACAAUGAACAUCAUUGCAUUCAUCGUGAACACCAGUAUAGCGCGAAAGUAAAACACUAGCAAUGUCCGCUAAACAUCCCAUUCAUCAAUUUCAGAUAAUACGAUUUGUGUUCCGUUUGAUAAUUCGGACGUAGCAUUCACCAUCAGUAGGCAGGGAAAACCGAAAAUGAUCUUCCGUGGCCACACUUACCUACGGAACAGCAGCAACGCUCAGAAGACCUACUGGAUAUGUGCUGCGGCACGGGAACGGAAGUGUCGAUCUCGUGCCAUUACGACCAAAGACUUGCGUCACGUAACUGUUAGAGAAACGACGCAUAAUCACUGAUUUUGUGAAUUAUGGCAAUAAUAAUAAAAAAAUCGAUAAAACUUAUUAGUUUUCAUUUUAUCAACUUUUGCGUUCGAAUAUCUGUAUGGAUUGCCAAACUAAUUGCCUUCGGUGUUUGUUUCAGAUCCAUCGCGAAAGUACAAGGAGCUGGUAUUUGUUAGCGGUUUAAGGGGAACACCGAAGCUAAUCGUGGAUGGGUAUUCGUUCAUUCGCAACAAAGGAAAUUUCCGGACCACAUAUUGGCGCUGUUCAAAGCUUCGUACGAUGGGUUGCAAGGCCAAAGUAAUAACCUCUCAGUUGGACAACAAGGUGUCCGUUACCGAUCCCGUUCAUUGCCAUAUGCCCGACUAUCGACAAUAUAUUUGAUUUUUUUGUUCAAUAAACUGAAAAAAAUAAAAUGAUGAUGAAAUUGCCUUAUUAUGUUUGUCUGGUGCAGUACUAGAUUAACUCACAGAUCAAUUUCCACUUUUCGCGGUUAGAUUAUUGGGUGGAGCUCCUGGCGGAUAAACCGGCGGUAAAUUUCACUUACGUCACCGGUCAGCGUGGAAAACCGAAAAUAUUGUUUGACAAUCAUACCUACAUUUGCUCGAAACAUCUGAAAAAUCGCAAAUACUGGACUUGUGGCAAACAACGAUCGCAAGCGUGCCGGGCACGUCUUAUCACCGAUUCGGACAACACGAUGCUGCUUGCACGCCAGCUUGAGCACACCCAUCCUCCCGAUAUGGACAUUAUCACAAAAUCUAUGUUGUACAGCCAGAAAUAAAUCGACGCGUGGUUUAAAGUUGAAACAUCUAGUACUUCGUGUUUAGUUUAUUUUACUUCAAUUUGUUUUCAAAUUCUUGUACCAUUCGCUAACAGUUCCAUUGUCUUUUCCAGAUCUUAAUUCGCUCAUCGAGUUCGAGUUUAUGACCACGCCCUCUCCCACGCCGCGCAAAUCCCCUUCCCCUCCGACUCAUAUCGCUAGUCGACCACCCAGAUCUAGGCGCCAGCGCAAAGCCGAACCAAUCGUAUUGGACGAUCAACCUUUGGUACUUUUCACAUCGCAACGGGGGAAGCACCUUCUAGUGUUGGAAAACUAUACUUUCUCAAAGAACAAUACCGUUGGAGAAACGACAUACUGGGCGUGCCGAGUGGUUACCGAUCACGUCAAGUGCAAAGCCCGAGCUAGUAUUACUCGCAAGGUUAAUGGCCUUUUUCGAGUUAUGCUUGGUAAUGCGACACAUAACCACCUGCCAAAAAUGUCACGCAAGGUCCUACUCGAAUGCGGUGUCGAGCCGAAUGUGUUUUAUUUGAAAAGUUGAAUAAAGUGUGUAUUGAAUGCUUGUUUAUGAUUUUUCCAACUUCGGAAUUUCUUACUAAUACGUACUACUAAUCAGCGGUUAUUUGUAUUUCGUUCUAGUAAUGCAAACUCAUAUAAUAAUGACUGGCGUCAUGAAUACUCGCAAGCCGAAUACCAGAAGAGCACGUAAAUCAAAACCGGAUAAUAUCGACAUACCAGAAAUAUUGAAGGGAUCUUCGGAGAAAAUGAUUUUGCAAACAUGCAUCGUCGGCGGAAUGAAAGUCUUAUAUCAGAACAACUACUUCGAGUACCAUUAUUCCAAAAGUGGAGUGAAACUCUACCGGUGCGCUGCUUUUGCAGAUUUGCAAUGUGAAGCUCGAGUCCUGGUGCAGAACGGGCUAGUUUAUUCGAUUAACGGAGAUCAUUGUCAUUUGAAUGCUGGACAAUAAAAGAAAACUGUCCUUUUAUUAAUCAAACUACCAAUCAGUAUGGACUGCAGUACUAGAUUUGAUAGUUCUCAACGUUCUUUUUGAUUUUUUUUUGUGAAUAUUUCCAGGCGAUCUAUUACGAUCAAUGGAAGACUACAGUCAGAUUCAAACUCAAUUUGAAAUGCCACAUCCGGAGAUGGCUGGAGUGUCUGUACUGUAUCAGCGUGAGCCAGUCGAAAAAGCUGGCGACAAAAAACUCAAUAUUUACACGACAUCAUCACUCAUACUGAAUAAACUAUCACUCGGAUCAGGAUCGCAUGCCAAAUCGCUUCCAGGGACAAUCUCGAAACCAAAGUCGCACAAGUCGUUGAAUGUACAGCAUAUCACUGCUACCGGGACGCCCUACGAUUUGGUAAACGUUCCUACCAAGAAGGGUGGUGUCGGGGUUCAGCACGAUGGACACCACUUUGAGUACCAUUUUACUCGCAGUGGACACAAGAUUUACCGGUGUGCGUGGCACUUGAAGGAACGGUGUCCAUCGCAAUUGUUGGUGUUCAACAGAAAGACCUAUGUCAUUUCUGAUGACCACUCGCAUACAGAAGUGGCCCGAAUGAGUGAGGACAUUUUGGCUAAGACAGUAGCCUGUUAGUGUAGUCUUCAAAACUCCACGUAUUUUAUGUGCGUUUUUCCAAAUAAAGCAUAUUUUUCAUUCACAUUUAAAUUUUCAUCUAAUUUUGUAGUACUAGUUUUGACAGUUUUCGCCAUGGCAUUCAUAUAACAUCAAAGUUCUCUUUCGCUAUAGUACCUAUCAGCAGUGCGCAAUUUGUGAUGAGUACCAAGGGAUCACCACAGCUCUGCAUCGACGGAUUUCCAUUCACACGACACAUCGUGAAGGAGGACACGAUCUACUGGAGAUGUAUACAAUUCCGUGCAUUGCGAUGUCCCGCAAGGCACCGUCAGCGACGUUCUACCGGAGCGUUGGAAGUUGUUUGGGCAAAGCACAAUCAUGGCAUUCUGGAGCGAAGGAAACGUGGCACAUUGCGAGAUAUUCUACUACAACGCAAACGGAUGAACCAGAAAUCCGCUCCAUCUGAAGUGAAACCACAUCCGACUACUAGCGCUGAAAAUGACAAGCCAAUUCCGGAAGAAACAUACGCUGCGGAAUAUCUGCUAGCAGAGCUAGAGGAUUUCGUUUUAAAAAAUGACUAAUCGUGAAUAUGUGGCAUUCUAGUACUUCGUCAAGUGUGCGAGAACACUGUUACUGUUAUUGUUCGCGAUAUAUUUAUCAUUGCUCGUUCACCGUUGUUUCUGGACAUUGUUGAUUGUGCUUAAUAAACGCACUACACUUGUUUUGCACUAGUACUUCGUCAAGUUGUAGAGCAUUUAUCGGUAUCUCUGCCGACGCAAAGCGAGAUAAAAGCCAAUAAAUUUUUAUUUACACAUAUUUUGUUUUAUUCUAGUACUCCAUCGUACUCCAGAUGGUAUUGAAGGUAGAAUUCCUGCUUAUUUAUAAUUAUUUAUCCACUGCAGGUCAUGAAGCCGUUAUCCAUUACACCAUGAGCCGAAAAGGAACGCCCCAGCUGGAGAUCGAUGGGUACCGCUACACGAGACAGAAAAUUUGCAAAACCACAAUUCGAUGGGAGUGUCUGCAGACGAAAGCGUUGGCUUGCAAGGCACGAGCCACCACCAGUAACACCCCGAAGGGACUUGUGCAGUACUACAACAACACACACAACCAUCCACCAUCCAUGGAACGGCGGAAGGCUGGUGAAUUGCGCAAAUUAAAACAACAAACGGCGGAGAGGCUGAAGCUUUUACAACCCGAUCUUUCGGAGAUCCAUUACAAUGUUUAGAUAGUAAUAUACAAAAUUUGACAAUCUAUUACAUAAAGAUAACGUUGACGACAACACAUAUCUGAUACUCUGUUAAUAUAUCAUUUGCAUCGGUGAUCGAAAGACAUUUGGAGAAAUAACAAACUGCCGAAUAAAUAAAAGGGCGAAUUCCUAGAAAGAAUAGCCUUUGCUCAAAAAAAGGAGGAUCACCUUGAUAUGUAUUUGGUCAUUUGUCAUUUCGCCAUCCGUCUGGAGCCCUUUGCAAUGAACACUAUUAAUUGAAAUAUUCUAGUACCUUAACAUGUUUUCAUCGUUCAUAUUUUAACCAAUUUCGACGUUUUACAGAUAGCACCUACUCGAACAUUCAGUAUGUGAUGAGUUCGAGAGGAGCGCCCCAGCUGGAUAUCGAAGGGUUUCGCUUCACAAGAAAACAUAAAGGCAAACAAGCUAUCCAGUGGAUUUGCGUGCAAAACAAAGCCAUCCAGUGCAAAGCGCGAGCUACUACUACUUCGCGAGGGAUGAUGCGUCAGCUGAUCAACAUCCACAAUCAUCCUCCUCAAAUGCAGCGACGGAAGGCGGGCGAACUGCGUGAGCUGAAGCGCCAAAUGGAAGACCGGACGAUGUUGUGGCACGAUUCCGCUAUGUGAACAUAAAUCACUAGAAAAGUAUAUGUUGGGGCGUUUUUCUAGUGAAACGGGCAACACGGGACAAACAAGAAGAUAGUUGAGGAGCACGUAGUUUAGUGAACAGCUGGAAGUAGAAUGCCUUUGUGAUGAUUUUCUGUUUGUACCGUGGUGUGACCUAAUUUCGCGCGGGUCCAAAUUUCGCUCACUGAUAAGAUUUAGAGAACAUAAUCAUAGAACUAAUCGUUGCAUUGUCCAAAUUUUACUUUAGAUAGUUUAGUUAAAGUAAAAUUGGGACAAUUGCACAUUUUUUUUUAUGAUAAUGAUGUCUAAAUAUGAUCAGUGAGCGAAAUUUGAACCCGCGCGAAAUUAGGGCACCCCACGGUAUAAAUCAAAAGUUAAUUGUGUUUUACAAAUGCAGUACUAGAUUCCUGUUUGAGUCCGUCGUACAUAUUUAUAAUCAAGUGAUUCAUUCUGCUCAUUUUGACAAAUAUAUUGUAUUUGAAGCUUAUUUCACAUUUCCUAGUAUUCUAUUAGAGUAAUGCGGGGCAAAAGUUCGCACCUAACAGACUUCACAAAAUAACUAAUAAACGAAAAGAAAACAAUAUAGUUUUUCUUCGUUAAAAGGGUCCCUAUCAUGUUGCCUUUAAAAUGUAGUACUAGAUUUUUUGGCAUUACUUUUGUAGUUUUAGUAAUACAAUUUUUAAUACAAGUACUCCAAUGCGAACUUUUGCCCCAUAGUGGGGGCAAAAGUUCGCAUUAUGCGGGGCAAAAGUUCGCACCUUGUACAGGGUAGUUUAUUUGUGUGAUGUUCUUUUAUUGCAUGUUAAUUCAUGUUCGUCUUUUCAAUCUAGCCAUGAAAUCUGUUUCCUUCUGUUUUUAGCAUUACGGCCUGUAGAGUUGUGAUGAAAUAUUUCAGUAGUGUAUAAAUUGAGUUAUCUUAUUUGAGCGUGUAUGUCAUAAGCGUAUCAGCACCGAACCUGGUAUAUACGGGAACACUGUAAUGAGGCUGAAUGUGAUGUGUGAAGCAAGCGACCGAGCAAGCAACCGGCAGUCGAGAGACGAGCGAGCAAGCGACAAGUCGUGUACGAAAGUGCGUGUGGAAAGAAGUCUGGACUUGGUGGCAGAGGACGUUUCGGUGCGACGACUGUACGGAUUCUACAAAUUGGCACAGCCGGUACGGAAAAAAAAGGUGAGAUUCUUUUAAUUUUGUGAUAUUGUCAAAAUGGUGAUAUGUACUGCGAUACGAAAAUGGAAACAAAACAAAUUUUGGAGUUUAGAAAUGGCUACCCGAAGCGAAGGCAAUAUUUUUCAAAAUGGCGGAAGAACGUCUUGGGAUUCGAUGUGUCGGAGUGGUAAAUGCAUGUGAGUUGGAAAAAAACAAAAUGGCGGGUCUGAUUAAGAAGUGGAUCGAUGCAAACAGAAGUGGAUUGAAACGAAGUGGGCCGAAACAAAAUGCUAGAAGUGGAACUAAUCGAUGUGGAUCCUAUCAAACUUAUAACACGAUGCAAACAACGAAAGAAAUAUGAAGUGGAUCAAAUAAAAAUCGAAGUGGACCAAAACUAAGUAAACCGUAUAGUGAUAGAAACGAUGUGGAUCGAAACAAGAUGACAAAAUGUUAUUUUUUGGUCCAAAUCAAGAUCCAAAUGACGAAAAAUCGAAUCGAAAAUCUUAUUUAACCAAUUGUUUUAUUCUACAUGAAAAUUUCAGAUGAAUGACGAAGCUGGACGUUGGUCGAUUGCGCCAUUCAAUGAUGCGGUGGAUGCUCAGGACCUACGAAGGGAAUGGGAAGAGUGGCACAGAUCAUUCGAGCUCAUGAUUGAGAUGAAGAAAGUUCAAUCACAGCAUGAGAAGUUGGUGACAAUGUUAUGUUACGGCGGCAGAGGUUUGCAACGCAUCUUCCAUAAUUUGAAACCCGUUCCGGAGGAAAUCGUUCCAGAACCAGUGCGAGUACCGUUGAUGCCGCCAGAGUAUCCCGAAUAUGACAAUGCGAUCAAGCGAUUGGAAAAGUUUUUCAUUGGAAAGAGAAAUGAUCGCAUUGAACUCGAAGUUUUCCGAUCAUUGAAACAAGGAGACGAAUCCUUCAACAAAUUUGUACUUCGCUUGCGUACACAAGCGGCCCGUUGUGAAUUCGGAGAACGCGAGGAGAUGGAAAUUCUGCACCAAAUCACAAUGGGAGCUCGAGAUGAGCGUGUCCGAGAUAAAGGUCUGGAGAGUGUAAUGGAUUUGGACGAUUUGACAAGCUACGCGAUCAACCGUGAAAUUUUAGUGCAGCAGAGGGAGAAAACGAAACCAUUCCGACAGGAAGCAGUCGCUGUGGUGAAGCAAGAGUGGCCGCGUCGAUCAGCAACCUUCAAUCGCAAUCAAGACAGUUCCAGGUUCAACAAAGUGCAGGACAGGCUUCGCCGUCCAACGGAUCGCAAUGGCACAAAGUUCAUCAAACAGGAGGUAGUAAAUCGUAGGAGCAGUGAAUGUGAUCGAUGUGGUUCAUGGAAACACGGCGGUAGUUAUCCUCGAUGCCCGGCGCUCGGAUCACGCUGCCACCAGUGCGGCACUACUGGACAUUUUUCACGAAAGUGUCGAAAAGUUCACACAGGACCACGUAGAUCUGCUUGGAAGCCGCCAGCACUGGAGACGAAUGCGGUACCGGGCCCGGAUGAUUGGGAGGAGGAAAUGCCACGUCGUCCAAAGCCAGAAGACAUUGCAAAGGUGAACAAAAUCUGUUCAGAACUCAAGGAAGGGCUUAUCAUAUGCAAGGUGGAUAAACUUCCGGUUCAGUUCCUGAUAGAUUCAGGAUCAGCAAUCAAUGCGGUUACUGAGGAGGUUUGGAAGAGCCUUGUUGAAGCUGAAGCAAAGGUGUACAACAUUAAGCGGAAAAGUGAGCGUAACUUCACAGCAUAUGCCAGCAGCGACUCCCUGUGUGUAUUAACUACCUUCGAAGCCAACAUUUCGGUAAAUCCAUCAAAGCCACACAGUUACGCUGAGUUUUUUGUGAUCAAAGGAGCGACCAAGUCAUUGUUGAGUAAGAGGACCUCCGAAGACCUUCGUGUACUGAAAGUUGGGUUAGAUGUCGACCAUGUUGAAACCGCGAUGGAGGCCGACGUUAAGCCGUUCCCAAAGUUUCCGAACGUGCAAAUAAAACUUUCUAUUGACGAGAGUGUAACGCCGAGGCGUAUCUCGUACUUGAGGGUCCCAGCGGCAAUGGAAAAAAAGGUCGACGAGAAAAUACUAGAAAUGUUGCGGACAGAUGUCAUAGAAAGAGUAGAUGGACCACCGGAAUGGAUUUCUCCAAUGGUGGUUGUCCCAAAAGGCAAGAAUGAUGUCCGCCUAUGCAUCAACAUGAAAUAUCCAAACGAGGCUAUUCAACGUGAGCACUAUCCGCUCCCAGUUAUUGAUACAUUUCUGAAUAAGUUGAGAGGAUCGAAGUUUUUCUCAAGGCUGGACAUAACUUCCGCGUUUCACCAUAUAGAACUGCAUCCUGAGUCAAGAGGAGUGACCACGUUUAUGACAGCAAGAGGAUUGAUGCGAUUUAAGAGGUUGAUGUUUGGUAUAACAUGUGCACCAGAAAUCUUCCAGCGAGUGAUGACCGAGAUGCUGACUGGGAUAGAUGGAGUUAUUGUGUACAUCGACGAUGUUGUAGUAUCCGGAAGGACUCUAGAAGAGCACGACGAACGAUUGCAAAAAGUUCUGUCAGUCUUGGACAGUAACAAUGCUUUGCUCAACCAAAGCAAAUGUGCUUUCCGAGUAGAAGAACUUGAAAUACUGGGUUUCAAAGUAAGCGCGAAAGGUAUCAGCCCCUCAGAUGAAAAGAUUCUAGCCAUCACGAACUUCCGCAAGCCGGAAACAAAGGAGGAAACCCGCAGCAUUCUAGGGCUGAUCAACUUUGUCGGCCACUUCUUUCCUCGUUUAUCGACAAGGACCGAACCCUUGCGGCAAUUCAUUCGAGGCGAGGUGGUAUCGUUUGGAGAGGAGCAAGAGAAGGCUUUCAACGACCUACGGGAUGAAUUGUCCAACAGUGUGCGAAGGCUGGGUUUCUUUGAUCCCGAAGAUGCAACCGAGCUCUAUGUCGACGCUUCUCCGGUCGGACUUGGAGCAGUCCUGGUCCAAAGAGACACAAUGGGACUAGCACGAAUUAUUAGCUUCGCUUCAAAAGGGCUAACUGCUGCUGAGAGAAACUACCCGCAAACCCAGCGCGAGGCUCUUGCCGUUGUAUGGGCCGUCGAGAAAUUUUACUUCUACUUGUUUGGAUUGCACUUCACGAUAUUCACGGAUCACAAAACCCUAGAGUACAUUUUUGGCGGGAAACACCAAACAGGGCGCCGUGCUUGCUCAAGGGCUGAAAGCUGGGCCCUACGUUUGCAACCCUAUGAUUUCGAAAUGAAAUAUCUUCCUGGGACCGCUAAUAUCUCAGAUGUCCUAUCACGUCUCAUCACACAAGAAGAUCCUGCAUUCGAUGACAGUACGGACCAUUUCUUGUUUGCCGUAGGGGAAGGCCCGACGGCGAUUUCCUUGGCCGAAAUCAAGCGUGAAACUGAAAAAGACGAAACUCUCACGGCUGUCAUCAAAGCAUUGGAAACUGGGGAAUGGCCAGUUGACUUGUAUCGUUAUCAGGCGUUUAAAAGAGAACUAGGAACCGUUGAAGGGAUAGUGAUCCGAGAUGAAAGAAUUAUCCUACCACUCAAGUUAAGAGCAAGAGCACUGGAAAUCGCUCACCGGGGUCAUCCAGGCGUGGUUUCUAUGCGUCGAAAUCUCAGGGAAAGAGUUUGGUGGCCUUGUAUGGAUAAUGAUGUCACUAGCAAAAUCCAGCAAUGUCACGGAUGCGCAGCAGUCAGCAGACAAAAUCCACCUGAGCCAAUGAUUCGGACGGAAAUGCCGGAACGAGCAUGGCAGCAACUCGGAAUCGAUUUUUUCUCGGCCAAAGAGUGUGCAACAUUCCUGGUGAUUGUUGACUACUUCAGCAGAUUUCUCAAAGUUAUCGAAAUGAAAGGGACAACAGCAUCAAAAACAAUCGACGCGCUCGAGGCUGUAUUCAUCGAACAAACCUACCCUGAAGCGAUCCGUAGCGAUAAUGGGCCGCCUUUCACGAGUGAGGAAUUUACAGGCAACUGUACGAAAAAGAACAUCAAGCUUAUUCACACCAUCCCUUAUUGGCCGCAGAUGAACGGUUUGGUAGAACGCCAAAAUCGAGGAAUUUUGAGGGCAUUGCGUAUUGCUAAAGCAACAGGUGCAGAUUGGCGGGCUGCUGUUAAAGAAUAUGUGUAUAUGUACAACACUACUCCACACUCAGUCACCGAAAAAGCACCGUUGGAGUUACUUACAGGCCGUCCGGUGAAGGAUUUGCUCCCGUCCUUGUUAACAGAACCCGGAUCUCGUCGUGAUGAGGGAGUACGGGACGCCGACGCGAUGAAGAAGCUAAAAGGCAAACUAGCUGCGGACGAAGAACGUCAUGCGAAACCAUCGGAUAUUGAGAUAGGAGAUUCAGUCAUGCUCAAGAACUAUGAUACCGGCAAGGUGAAACCCAAAUUCCAAUUGGAACGUUUCACAGUCGUAGAGCGGACUGGCAGUUCGGUGGUUGUUGAGAGUGCAGAGGGUGUGCGCUACCGCAGAUGUGUAACACAUCUGAAGAAAUGGCCGGAGACGACGGAAGAACCCUCGGCGGCGCCGAUGCCGGAGAGAUUGGAGCCGGAGGUUUCAAAACCGGUGGAGACCAAUGCAACAAAGACGGCUAAAGCGAAGCGGAAUACUGAAGUGCAACUAGAAGCAUCUUCAUCUAAGCGCCCGGCUAGAGUGAUCAAAAUGCCAGCUCGAUUCAACUCGUAAUCAUUUUGAUGUGCAGCGUUUUAAGUUAUGCGAUCGAUCAGAAUUAAAAUGAAUUUUUCUUCCUUUACUCAAGCUUUCACAUGUUUUCAAUUAUUAUAGUCACGAAUCCGAGGAACUGUGGUUUUUUUCUUAUUUCUCUUAACGAAUUACUAUUUGGAUGCGGCUGCAAUACUUACGCACUAUUCUUAACUUGAUUCAUGCAUAAAUCCUUUACACGGGGACAAAGAAGGCCACCUGUGAUGAAGGACUAGAUGAAUGCAGGAACUCCAAAUCGUCAAUUCGUGAUAAUCCUUUGGGGUCCUGUCAUGGAUGUAUUUACAUAACCGUAUUUUGCUUCCUUUGUGUGCCAACUUGGGCAUGUUAUUUAUCACGAUCGCCAGAAUACAGAGCCGCUCCUGUAAAGCCAAAUCUCGGUUGAAUCGCAACGUUCCUUUUUUUCUCCAAAUUAAUUUUCCUAUUCCUCCUCGAUUGGAAAAAAUGUUUCCACGUCUCAGGUAACAGCAGAAAGUUAAUGGCAACAACACAGGAUAGGCCUUUUCAGCUGACAGGUUCGUGUAUGCCACUGUUUACAACUGCCGAACAAAGGCGCAAACGCUAAACUGUCAUUUUCAUAGGAGAACUGUCAAAGACCCGAUAAAUCAGCUGAUUUAAGACGUCAAAUGAAAAGGCCCAUUGUCGGUCGACAAAGAUGAAAAGAUGAAGACGGGUUUGACAGCUGCGGAUAAUUUGCAAACCGUUGUUCAAUUUCAAGUAAGUAACCCAUGCAGCACAAUAUUUUGAUCCCAAAUAUUGUUGCACUCAAAAUUCGAAAUACACAUUUUUGAUCAAAUUUGGAAAAUGAGUAACUACACGGAAAAACAGAUCACCCAAAAAAAAAAAAAGAAUACGUCAAUAGAAUUUAAAAAUAGGUAAACCGCUUGAAAUUUUUUUACCCACUUAGAGCUUAAACGCGGUUAAGCCAAAAUUGGGAUAAUCGCACGGAAAAGCCGAUAUGCGUGAAAUAAACCUAAAUCUGGUUCAGUGUAUAUAUAGUAAUAGUUUUUUUUUUCUGUCAGUCUAUUUUGUUCGGACAAGGAGAAGGAUGUAGAGUUGUGAUGAAAUAUUUCAGUAGUGUAUAAAUUGAGUUAUCUUAUUUGAGCGUGUAUGUCAUAAGCGUAUCAGCACCGAACCUGGUAUAUACGGGAACACUGUAAUGAGGCUGAAUGUGAUGUGUGAAGCAAGCGACCGAGCAAGCAACCGGCAGUCGAGAGACGAGCGAGCAAGCGACAAGUCGUGUACGAAAGUGCGUGUGGAAAGAAGUCUGGACUUGGUGGCAGAGGACGUUUCGGUGCGACGACUGUACGGAUUCUACACGGCCCAACUGGAAUACGACCUGGUGUUCAGCUUUUGUGUACAAUGUGUUUUAUGAAGACUUCCACAACUAUUAACUAAGAGCUGUCCUUUCCAGCGUUACUGAAAGUUGCCAAAAUACAUUGUGGGGUAAUCAUAGAGAUGCAUGUUGCACAAAAUACAAAAUACAAAAUACAAAAAAAAACAAAUAUGCAGCAAAACUGUUGAACAGGACCGUAAUCGAAUCUUAUCCCCGUCAGUAUGGUGAUGAGUUAUAGCUGUCAAUUUACAAACUAAGCUAUGAAAGACCCCGGUAGAGUCGAUGAACAUAAGAACUUCAGAAACAUACGAAAAGACACAACGAGGAUGACGAAGAAAAUGUUUAAAAAUGUUUUUGACCAUUUUUCAUUUCUUGAAAUGGGUUAACAUAAUGUUUGUCUUACAAUGGAACUUCUCACAAAACUAAGUUCAAACCCUCUGCCGGAACGAUUUCAGGAUGCAUACUACACAUAUUAUACAUAUAUAGUAGUUUCUAUACGAAAUCUUCAUUGCUUCAAAGAUUCUGUAAUUAUAUUGAUGUACUAGAUUCAGAAAUCUAGUGCGAACUUUUGCCCCACAACUACUGCGAACUUUUGCCCCACUGUAGAGGUUUUAACAAUGUCCCUUUCUGUAAGAAGCACUAGUAGUUUAUUGUUUAUUCGAGUGCACCUCUCGAACUACUAUGGAAUAACGAUUCUCCGACGUCAAGAGGUUAUGAGAUUUUUCUUCUUCUUGUUACUACAAAUUCUUAUUCCAAAGUGUCCAAAAAUCAAUAAACUUAAAAACGUUGAGUUAUACUUAAGAUGUUGCGAUCAGGGUUUACAAGAAAAGUUAAUAAUCACCCUAAAUCGCGCCGUGCCAUAAACGAUAAAUAUGCACAAGUUGUAACAAAUUGAAAAAACUAGAAAUCAUAAAUUGUAGAGUGAAACCUCAUAUUUUUGUUCUUAAUGAAAAAAAAAAUGACUGUUGUAGUGCUACAGAGAGAGAAAAAAAAUCACAUUAUUUUCGCUCAAAGCUAUUUCUAAAAAAUAUGCAACGUGUUUCGAAGAAUUUUCACCGAAUCGUACACGCAUUUGACAUUAUUACAAAUCUCGUUGCAGUUGUCUGUCCAGAGGAAAUUUCCUUCGCAUUGAAUUACCGAGGAACGCAGAACAUGGUGAUUCGGAACCACUUCUUCGUUCGCAACAAAAUUUCCCAACGGUAUCUUUUCUGGAACUGUGCCCAGAAGAAAGCUCUAGGCUGUCGCGUUCGAGCUACAAUGCCACGCCCACCCAACAAAGGACCUGUCAUAUGCCGAGGGGAACACAAUCAUGAAGUGGUUUCCGAACGACGAAAGCAUGGCGCUCUCAGAGAAUUACUGAACAAACGAAAGCUAGAUAAAGAGCAGUCGAGUACAAAGAGAUGUAGAAUAAAUAAAAAUUAAGUGAAAUUACUUAUCAUAUGUCUUUUUAGAUUUGAAUACUCAAAUUUUUCAUUCCGGAGAUUCAUUGUGUAUUGAUGUAUUACAGAUAACUGUAUCAGCGAUAAUGCAUCCGAUAUGGAUAUAUGCUACAUGGUGACAGCCCGUGGGACAACUCAGCUGGUUGUAGAAGGAUAUCCGUUUACCAAACUCAACGAACGGGCUCAUAUGACGUUCUGGGCGUGCUGUCAAGCUAGACCCUUGAAUUGCAAAGCCCGGGCCACAACAUAUCGCGCUUCGAGGGAUGGAAAAAUCACGUUCAGAGGAGAGCAUAACCAUGGCAAAAUCCAUGAACGGCGCAAAGCGGGUGCGCUCAGAAAACUACUCGAGCAACGUGACAAAGAGAAAGCUCGACAAAAAUUGUUGAAAUCAGUGGGGAGUGUCUAUGAAUAAAUGAGCCACAUGAAAUGAUGCUGUCUUUUGUCUAUCGUGAAGUAAAAAUGGCAUCAUUGCUUGAUUCUAAAUGUCAUAAGUAGUGUUGCCAAAUUUUCUAAUCUGAUUCAUGGUUUUAAAUAAACUUAAAUUGAGAUGUGUUUAGAAAUCUAGACAUUCGUUACGUGGACACGAGCAGAGCGCGUAAGCUAGUCAUACAGGGUUACAGCUUCACCCGAAAGCAAAAACGGGAACGAAACACGAUUUGGGAGUGUUGCCAGUCGAGGCCGUUGGGAUGCAAAGCAUCAGUAACCAUCUAUGUGACAGGAAACAAAGUGAAUAUGCGAGGAAUGCACAACCAUGCAAUUAUGACGCGAAGACAAAGACUGAGUUAGCGCAAACGGUUGAUGGAGGCACGCCUGCAGGAGCGUAUCUGGCGGAAAACCGAAAAAGAGAAGUGAUUGUCGCAGAGAACUUCAAUUUGCCUGUCAUAUUACUUACACUAUUAAAAAAAUAAAAUAAAUAAAAUAUCUAAACGAUAGUUUUGUUUUUGCAAUGUGAAGCUCGAGUCAUGGUGCAGAACAGGCUAGUUUGUUACGUUAACGGAGACCAUUGUCAUUUGAAUGCUGAACAAUAAAUGAAAACUAUCAUUUAGAUCGGAUCAUUAUCAACGUCCUAACUGAUUGUUUUUUGUGUGAAUAUUUUCAGGCGAUCUACUACAAUCAAUGUGAGACUAUAGUCAAGUUCAAACCGAAUUUGAAAUGCCACAUCCGGAGAUGGCUGGAGUGUCUGUACUGUAUAAGCGUAAUCCAGUCGAAAUAAUAGGCGACGAAAAACACGCUAUAGACCCCAGCAAAGACGUCAGCUUCGUAUUGCAAGGCAACCGUCGCAAACUGUAUGUCAAAGACCACUGCUACUACCGGAAACACACUUUGAAAAAUCACACACAGUGGCGUUGCACUGAAUACAGAGCCUACGGGUGCCUAGCUUCGGUGAAGGUCUCGCGAAACGGAUUACAAAUGACUCUCCAAGGAGUGCACGACCAUCCCGUCAAGAAAGAGCAUCGUCGAGAAGGCCAGCUGAGAGAACUUAUGGAGAAACGAAAGCAAACGGUUAACGAACGAAAGCAACAGCGCCGAAAAUAAACUUGCAACAGCACUGAUUCAAAUAUAGAUUUUGAAAAAUUUCAUCUUGUUUGAAUGUUUAUGAGUGUAGGUUUUGAUGGGCAAGUGUUGCCAUCACUCACUGUUGGUUCAAUUUCAGAGCUGCCGAAGUCGUUUUUCGUUUUGAGUGGCCAAGGAAAUCUCCAACUGUCGAUCGAUGGAUACGUGUUCACGCAAGAGCUGGUCAAGAACAACGACAUAGAUUGGGCUUGUUCGCAAUCAAAAGCUUUGCGCUGUAAAGUUCGCGCGACGACAUCUCGUGAGAAAGAUCGCAAAGUGCUCUCGAUCCGAGGCGAACACAAUCACGGGAUAAUUACUGAACGUCGGAAAAGCGGUGCCUUGAAGGCUCUGCUGGAACAACGCAAGAAAGAGCGCGAUGAACGACGAAUGAGAUUGGGAGGAGUUUUUUCAUCACCAGUCUAGAAAUCUGUAUUGGAUAAAUAAAUACUACACGAUAAUAAUGAAUUGCUUGUUUAUAAUCUGAUUGAAGCAAUAGAUUUGUUGUUGGUUUCACCUCUACUUACCUAUUUUGACCUACUCUAUGUCUCGUUUAUAGUUGCAUAUUGUUUCCAAGACGCCUCAGAAGCAGUAAGAAAACCAAACGUUCAGUAUUCAUUGAGAAACAAAAGGCACCCUGGUACUGUUACUGGAUGGAUUCUCUUUCUUCAAGGAAAAAGCACGCAACGGUUCUACCUUUUGGCGAUGCUCACAGUAUUUUGCGCUCAAGUGCCGAGCUCGCGUUCGCAUGUCGCUUCCACCGAACGAUGAAAAUCUAGUACGCCGUGGAGAACAUAAUCACAAAAUCAUCUCCGAACGACGCAAAUAUGGCUCUCUGAAAAACAAUAUAAAAAACGAAGAAAAAAUUACGCAGCGCCAUGAGAUCUCUGACAAGGAAUUGCUCAGUAAAUGAUAUGCCAUUUUAAAUAUCCGUCAAAAGAUUACCAAAGAGAAAUUCGAUGAAAAAUAAUGUUAUAUUGUAGUACUAGAACACAAAAUGGAACCAAACCAUACGUCCAAUAUACGAUUAGUAAUCGUGGAACUCCAUUGCUUAUGCUGGAUGGAUUCGCCUUCACCAGGGAUAAAGUACGCAACAGUGUUACCUCAUGGAGAUGUUGUCAACACCGUACACUUAGCUGUAAAGCUCGCGCCAACGCCGUCCGGGAUCGCAGUGGCCAAAAGAAAAUCGUCAUCAAACACUUUCACAAUCAUCCGCUUGUAACCGAGCGUAAAGAGAAAUGUUCCUUAAAAUAAAAUUAUGCGCUACUUCUAGUACCUCAGCAACAGUUAGCUAAAAGCGAAAUAAGUCGUGUUUUCAUUUUCGUUUUUGUUUACAGUUUUUCGGUAACGUCCGAUGAAAUCUAUGUAUCUACUAAUGAAAAAAAUCGAUCUGCAUUCUAGGGAUGGUGACGUACACUACAAGCCGUCGAGGUCGUCGACAGAUCUGCUACUUCGGACACUCAUUCGAGAUGGAAAAGGAACGGAAAGGGUCCACCAGCUGGCGGUGCGGUCAGGCAAAGCCUCUCAAAUGCAAGGCCAGAAUUAUCGAGCGCAUUUCAAAGUACGGCGACCCAAUGUAUGAAAUUGUGCGUUCGACGCAUAAUCACGACAUUAUAACUGAGAGAAGGCGACGAGGGUGGUUGAAAGGUUAUAACGAGCUAUCAAUAAUGAAAAAAGAAGAACUAUAAAUUCACAGUUCCUUGGCAUGUAAUCUAGUACUACUUUUUUGAAUAGGAGGCAAUCAGUGAAGUACUAGAUUGAAAGUAGUGAGCUGGAUUUUUGUAUGGUGAGAUGGUCAAUUCUCCAUUUCUGCAAUGAAAUGGUGCAGACAGCGUAGGUUAUAUGAUUUAUUGGCUAAUUUGAUGCUGUUUGAGCAAAAGUUUGGAUAACUGUGUUGUUGAAGUUGCAGGAAAAAAUAAUACAACAACACAGUUAUUCAAACUUUUGCUCAAAUAGCAUCAAAUUAGCCAAUAAAUCAUAUAACCUACGCUGUUUGCACCGUUUCAUUGCAGAAAUGGAGAAUUGACCAUCUCACCAUACAAAAAUCCAGCUCACUACUUUCAAUCUAGUACUUCACUGAUUGCCUUCUAUUAUAUUGUCACAAUGGACUCAAGUAGUUCAUCACUACAAACCUAUUUUGGCUAGUAAUCUAGUACAACCCAUACAUAUAAUUUAGAACAAUUUGACUGGCUAUAAAGCCUGGAAUUACAAUCUAGUACAACUAUACAGCUCAAUUUAUAUUCCAGUAGCAACAAAAUAAUCAACUUUUGAAUUAUUAUAGGACACUGUUACGGUUCGGCGGAGUACUCAAUCAGUCUCAAAGGCUCCCUGCAGUUGAUGGUGCAGGGAUUUCCGUACACUCGCCAUAGCUGCAAGGGCGGCAAGGUCUACUGGCGGUGCGUGCAGUUCAAGUCACUUGGCUGUCGGUCUAGGGUUCGUACUCACCAGGAGCUGAUCGAGUCGAUAGAGCACGAACACAAUCACGAUCGAAUGUUGGCCAGGCGUAAACGAGGAGCUUUGAAGCAGUUGAUGCAAGAGAGGAAGCGCGAGAAAUCUCUUGUUGCACUAGAUCAGUGUGACUUGGUUGAACUUGACUGGGUUGAAUAAAAGUUUCUGUUGCUAGAUGACCUUGCUGGAUUGUUAAUGUCAAUAAUAACUCUGAAAAAAAAAAUAAGUGGCUGUGGAAUGUGACGGAGUUUCGUCUUUCAGAACCCAUCUCAUUGAUACAGGUGAUUGCUGUAGUACCAGACGAAGCGGAACCUCAUCCCUAUAGCUAUAACUAUCGUGGAAAUCUUGUGUAUGAUAAGUACACCUUUGCCAAAACGGCGGCUCACGGGACGGGCAACAUUGUCUACUGGAGAUGCACGGGCUAUCGUAAGCAUAAGUGUAGAGCUACAUUGAAAACGCGAGGCAAGGAGUUGAUCGUGGUUCGCCAGGACCAUAACCACGAGCCCUUCGUGAAGGGAAGCGUUUUCACUUUCGAUUUGCCAAUUUGGAAGGAAACAACGGGAUCUAACGCUCCUUAAAAUUUACCGUUUUACUCUUUGCUAUGAGGCCACAUUGGAAUUUACCUAAUAAUAAUUACAAGAACAAUACAUUACAUUUUUGCAAACAAUAAUCAUCAUUGUUUUUCUACCAUACCAUUAAUAUAAUCUUGCGUUCUAGUACUACACAACUUCAUACUAACGUUACACUUGUAUUUCUCCAGGAAAACUUCUGUCGAUUUCGACAAUGCCGCUCAUAUUGAAAAAGAUCAAAGUCAAGCGUACAAAACCGACAUCUCCGUUGAAAUCCGUUCCUGCAAUGAAUGCCCCAUCUGAACGUCCGACCGUGGUAAGCGCCGAUCCGGAUCAACUGCUCAGGCUGGACAACAGUACAAUUUCCAAGGACAAUAUCGUCAAGCAGCUAUCGAACGGCCAUGCUCUAGUACUGCUGAAGAGGACACGCGUCAAAGGUUUUUGUGUGAGCUGUAUUCGUUCCAUGCAGGAUCCGGAGUACAAGAAGAAGUUGAACAAAAUUAUUACCUACUGCUCGGGAUGCCCCGGUGGGCAGUGGAUCUGUGAAGCGUGUUUUGAUUCCAGUCACGAUAUAAAGAACUAAAUGAAUAAAAAUUUAAAAUAUCUAGCUACUAUCGAUAGUUAUUUCUUAUAAUGAUUCUUUUUUAUCAAUACUUUUCAAAACUAACAGAGUUCCAAUCAUUUUCAGGUAAAGCUCUGUUCCAGAUCGGCAAUCGAAACUCGCUGAAGCUGUUCUACAACGGACACUUCUACACAAGGUCCUACACGGCGGAAAAAUCAAGCAAGUGGGUCUGCGACAGGAAAAACAUGCUCAAAUGCAAAGCUCGAAUACGCCUGAACCGAGACAAAACUUGUGACGUACUGAACGCCAAUCACAACCAUCCGGCUCGAAACCCUAGAACUAUCGGAAUGCUGAUCGAUUUCACCGAUCGAGAUUUGAGCACCAUGCUCCAGAAGGAUACCGUCAAAGAAUCUCCCAAUCCCAAUCGUUGCGGAAUAACUAAAAUGAAAAUAUAAUGAAUGAAUCAACCAACAUUUUUAACUGUCCACAUUCUAUUACUUCAUCUUACGAAUCGUAGCAUGACACUUCACUAAAACCUCUCCUUGACUUUUCGUUCCAGUGCACAAGAUCAUGAAGCUACAGAAACGACUCUACUACCUCAAAAAGGUGUCCGGAGAGUUUGUUCAACACGGAGAAAAUCCAGUUUCUUCGCAGAUUGAGUACUUGCAACGCGAUCUGGAUGUGCUUACGGGGACUCUACCGAAAAUGGAGAACGCUCCGGAUUGUAAGCCAUCUUCCGUUCCGGGAUUCGAGUUCCCUCUGACCGAGCAGGAGGAAAUUGAACGCUUGGAGGCGGAGGUACGAAACGAUCCGUAUGUCCGGUGCCAAUAUGUGAACUAUCUUAUCAACAAAAAGCCAGCGCCGAUGAAUCUAAUACAGUUUCUACCAAUGGUGUUUUCCGAUGAGGCCCUUAUUGCCUACAACUAUCAUGGUUCGCAUGCUUCCGGAAAAUCUAAGCAUUCGAUGAAGGCGUACACCAUUUUUUCGGAAUGCUUUUUGGAAGCCUUCGAAGGAGAAGGAUUGGAUAUGGACACAUUGACCAAGCAGCUGGUAAUGGCCAUCAAACAGAGCCGGAACCGUAUGCGGCAACGUACAUUCCGAGCGAAGAAGACGCUACAACGAAUCAGCAGCGACAAGGGUUCUGAGUGAUUAGUGUGGAAUGGAAUGUCUUGCUUUCUGAAUUUAAAUAAAGAUACGAAAAAGUGAA